UAACUCUCAGCCCCUUCGGGUUGGACUUUGGACGCUGCGGGAGCCGCUUCCGCUCGUCUCAAAUGCAUUAGCGGGGUUUUGGGGGACCCAUUGCUGGCGUUUAGUAAUGCUUGCGCCGCGCGGGGUCCUCGUCCGCUCACUAGCUUGGACGCCACGGCGUCGAACUUUGACUU
rnacentral:misc_RNA from 1 species